GCUGUAGCUCAGUGGAAAAGCGCUUGCCUAGAACACAUGAGGCACUGGGUUCAAUCCUCAACACUGCA
rnacentral:tRNA from 1 species